rnacentral:rRNA from 1 species
GAUGAACGCUGGCGGCGUGCCUAAUACAUGCAAGUCGAGCGAAUGGAUUAAGAGCUUGCUCUUAUGAAGUUAGCGGCGGACGGGUGAGUAACACGUGGGUAACCUGCCCAUAAGACUGGGAUAACUCCGGGAAACCGGGGCUAAUACCGGAUAACAUUUUGAACCGCAUGGUUCGAAAUUGAAAGGCGGCUUCGGCUGUCACUUAUGGAUGGACCCGCGUCGCAUUAGCUAGUUGGUGAGGUAACGGCUCACCAAGGCAACGAUGCGUAGCCGACAUGAGAGGGGGAGCGGCCCAGCCGGAACGGAGACACGGCCCAGACUCCUACGGGAGGCAGCAGUAGGGAAUCUUCCGCAAUGGACGAAAGUCUGACGGAGCAACGCCGCGUGAGUGAUGAAGGCUUUCGGGUCGUAAAACUCUGUUGUUAGGGAAGAACAAGUGCUAGUUGAAUAAGCUGACACCUUGACGGUACCUAACCAGAAAGCCACGGCUAACUACGUGCCAGCCGCCGCAGUAA